CCAGACUUCUACGGAACGGCAGCCAGUGGGCAUAUUUGGCCCAUUGGGCGCAAGCCUGAUGCAGCGACGCCGCGUGAGGGAUGACGGCCUUCGGGUUGUAAACCUCUUUCAGUAGGGAAGAAGCCUUUCGGGGUGACGGUACUUGCAGAAGAAGCGCCGGCUAACUACGUGCCAGCAGCCGCGGUAAUACGUAGGGCGCAAGCGUUAUCCGGAAUUAUUGGGCGUAAAGAGCUCGUAGGCGGUUUGUCGCGUCUGCUGUGAAAGACCGGGGCUCAACUCCGGUUCUGCAGUGGGUACGGGCAGACUAGAGUGCAGUAGGGGAGACUGGAAUUCCUGGUGUAGCGGUGAAAUGCGCAGAUAUCAGGAGGAACACCGAUGGCGAAGGCAGGUCUCUGGGCUGUAACUGACGCUGAGGAGCGAAAGCAUGGGGAGCGAACAGGAUUAGAUACCCUGGUAGUCCAUGCCGUAAACGUUGGGCACUAGGUGUGGGGGACAUUCCACGUUUUCCGCGCCGUAGCUAACGCAUUAAGUGCCCCGCCUGGGGAGUACGGCCGCAAGGCUAAAACUCAAAGGAAUUGACGGGGGCCCGCACAAGCGGCGGAGCAUGCGGAUUAAUUCGAUGCAACGCGAAGAACCUUACCAAGGCUUGACAUGGACCGGAAAGACCUGGAAACAGGUGCCCCGCUUGCGGCCGGUUUACAGGUGGUGCAUGGUUGUCGUCAGCUCGUGUCGUGAGAUGUUGGGUUAAGUCCCGCAACGAGCGCAACCCUCGUUCUAUGUUGCCAGCGGUUCGGCCGGGGACUCAUAGGAGACUGCCGGGGUCAACUCGGAGGAAGGUGGGGACGACGUCAAAUCAUCAUGCCCCUUAUGUCUUGGGCUUCACGCAUGCUACAAUGGCCGGUACAAAGGGUUGCGAUACUGUGAGGUGGAGCUAAUCCCAAAAAGCCGGUCUCAGUUCGGAUUGGGGUCUGCAACUCGACCCCAUGAAGUCGGAGUCGCUAGUAAUCGCAGAUCAGCAACGCUGCGGUGAAUACGUUCCCGGGCCUUGUACACACCGCCCGUCAAGUCACGAAAGUUGGUAACACCCGAAGCCGGUGGCCUAACCCUUGUGGG
rnacentral:rRNA from 1 species